ACGGGUGAGUAACACGUGGGUAACCUGCCUUAUGGAGGGGGAUAACAGAGAGAAAUCACUGCUAAUACCGCAUAAGCACACAGUACCGCAUGGUACAGGGUGAAAAGAUUUAUCGCCAUAAGAUGGACCCGCGUCUGAUUAGCCAGUUGGCAGGGUAAAAGCCUACCAAAGCAACGAUCAGUAGCCGAUCUGAGAGGAUGACCGGCCACAUUGGGACUGAGACACGGCCCAAACUCCUACGGGAGGCAGCAGUGGGGAAUAUUGCACAAUGGGGGAAACCCUGAUGCAGCGACGCCGCGUGAGUGAAGAAGUAUUUCGGUAUGUAAAGCUCUAUCAGCAGGGAAGAUAAUGACAGUACCUGACUAAGAAGCCCCGGCUAACUACGUGCCAGCAGCCGCGGUAAUGCGUAGGGGGCAAGCGUUAUCCGGAUUUACUGGGUGUAAAGGGAGCGUAGACGGAAUGGCAAGUCUGAAGUGAAAUACCCGGGCUCAACCUGGGAACUGCCUUGGAAACUGUUGUUCUAGAGUGUUGGAGAGGUAAGUGGAAUUCCUGGUGUAGCGGUGAAAUGCGUAGAUAUCAGGAAGAACACCAGUGGCGAAGGCGACUUUCUGGACGAAAACUGACACUGAGGCGCGAAAGCCAGGGGAGCGAACGGGAUUAGAUACCCCGGUAGUCCUGGGCCGUAAAC
rnacentral:rRNA from 1 species